GUGAAGAACGCAGCGAAAUGCGAUACGUAAUGUGAAUUGCAAAUUCAGUGAAUCAUCGAGUCUUUGAACGCACAUUGCGCCCCCUGGUAUUCCGGGGGGCAUGCCUGUCCGAGCGUCAUUGCUGCCCUCAAGCACGGCUUGUGUGUUGGGCCCCGUCCUCCGAUCCCGGGGGACGGGCCCGAAAGGCAGCGGCGGCACCGCGUCCGGUCCUCGAGCGUAUGGGGCUUUGUCACCCGCUCUGUAGGCCCGGCCGGCGCUUGCCGAUCAACCCAAAUUUUUAUCCAGGUUGACCUCGGAUCAGGUAGGGAUACCCGCUGAACUUAAGCAUAUCAAUAAGCGGAGGA
rnacentral:misc_RNA from 1 species